AUUCAGCCGACGAGUCCCAAAUAGGACGAAACGCGCGUUGUGGAG
rnacentral:hammerhead_ribozyme from 1 species